GGAAGUAGAUGGUUCAAGUCCAUUUACUUCCACC
rnacentral:misc_RNA from 1 species